UCGGGAAUUUUGGGCAAUGGGCGAAAGCCUGACCCAGCAACGCCGCGUGCAGGAAGAAGGCCUUCGGGUUGUAAACUGCUUUUGUACGGAACGAAAAGGCUCUUUCUAAUAAAGAGGGCCCAUGACGGUACCGUAAGAAUAAGCACCGGCUAACUACGUGCCAGCAGCCGCGGUAAUACGUAGGGUGCGAGCGUUAAUCGGAAUUACUGGGCGUAAAGCGUGCGCAGGCGGUUCUAUAAGACAGAUGUGAAAUCCCCGGGCUCAACCUGGGAAUGGCAUUUGUGACUGUAGAGCUAGAGUACGGUAGAGGGGGAUGGAAUUCCGCGUGUAGCAGUGAAAUGCGUAGAUAUGCGGAGGAACACCGAUGGCGAAGGCAAUCCCCUGGACCUGUACUGACGCUCAUGCACGAAAGCGUGGGGAGCAAACAGGAUUAGAUACCCCCGUAGUCCCUGAGCGGGCUGGCAAGGCGCAU
rnacentral:rRNA from 1 species